rnacentral:rRNA from 1 species
UCCGUAGGGUGCGAGCGUUAAUCGGAAUUACUGGGCGUAAAGCGUGCGCAGGCGGUUCGUUGUGUCGGUGGUGAAAGCCCCGGGCUUAACCUGGGAAUGGCCAUGGAAACUGGCGAACUGGAGUGUGGCAGAGGGGGGUGGAAUUCCGCGUGUAGCAGUGAAAUGCGUAGAGAUGCGGAGGAACACCGAUGGCGAAGGCAGCCCCCUGGGCUAGCACUGACGCUCAGGCACGAAAGCGUGGGGAGCAAACAGG